CAAGUGGUACUGUUGCAAGUGGUACCGAUACAAGUUGUGCCAGUGCAAGUGGUACCGAAAAAAGCUACACCCAAAGAAACACAAUUAAAAAAGCUAUUUCUGAUCAACUUAGUAAAAUCAAAGUAUUUGAAAAAAAAUAAAAAGUAAAAAUUUAGUAGUUGUAGAAAAUGCUUAUAAAGUUUUUAAAAGUACGUUUAACGAUUUUGUAGAUGUAUAUUUGCAAAACGAAAAUGAAUCUUUCAAAUGUAUGUAUGAUGAUGGUAGUAAUAAUAAUAAUAAUAAUAGUAAUAAUAAUAAUAAUAGUAAUAAUAAUAAUAAUAAUAAUAGUAAUAAUAAUAAUACCAACAAUAAUCAUACCAACAAUAAUAAUACGGAUGUUAGCAAUAUAUGUCUUAUUAAUCAAAGCUCAAUAUGUGAUGAUAAUGAAAACAAUAAUUAUUAUUAUAACAAAAGUUAUUAUAUAAAUAAAAAUGAUUCAAACGAAUAUAAACAUAUAAAUAGUAACGACAUUUAUAAAUUUCCGUCAAACGAUACAGAAGAUGGUAAAUGUUCAUUAGAUGAACAAGUAAGUUAUAUUGAUAUAAUUGCGAAUAAAAUAAAAAGUUUUAAUGAUUUGUCGCACCAUCAUCAUGAAUCACAUAUGUAUAAAUAUGAAAAUGAAAAUCCCCAUUUCGAAAGUGUAUAUAAAAUAAAAAAUGAAGAUGUUACCAAUAAUAAUAAUAAUAAUAAUAAUAAUAGUUAUAGUAAUAAUAAUAAUAAUAAUAAUAAUAAUAGUUAUAGUAAUAGUUAUAGUAAUAAUAAUAAUAGUUAUAAAAAUGUUAAUGACGCAAGUAAACAGUGUAAACUCAUUAAAAGCUUUGUAAACAAUAUUUAAGGAAGGGUGUUUUAUAUCAAAAUAAGUUUUUAUUAAUUAUUCAAACAUUUAUUCAAACAUUUAUUCAAACAUUUAUUCAAACAGUUACUCAAACAGUUAUUCAAACAGUUAUGCAUGUAUGUAUAUACAUCAAAGAGAUAACUGAUAAACAGUUAGCCAUACGGAAAAUUAUGAAAAAGUUUAUGUAAUAUCUUAAAAAAAAAAAAAAAAAUAUACUUAAGUAACAAAAUGUGAAGUUGUCUGUAUACGUAUGUAUACCAUAAAAAUUAGCAUAAAAAUCAUAAAAUUAAUUAAAAAACAUGUUAUUUUUCAUUUUCGAAUUUGCAUAUAUAUAUAUAUAUAUAUAUAAUUAAUUGAUAAAUUAUCAUUCGUUGUUAAAUUACAAACAUGUGAAAAAAAAAAAAAAAAAAUUAACUCUUUUACAGUCUCCAUAUCUCUCUCUCUCCCUUUAUAUAUAUAUAUAUAUAUAUGUAUUUUUUUUGUUAUAGCCCAAUAUGAACAAAUCGUAUAUAGUGUUCAUAUAUAUAUGUCUAUACAUUUACGAGCCAACAUUUUUAAUUUUUUUUUUUUUCUAUUAUGUUUAUACGUAUAGUGUCCAUUAUAAAAAGUAUAAAUUGAAUUUUGUAACUACACCCGAUAUAAAAUAAUUAAAUAUACACACGUACGAACACAUUAAGUAUGUUCACGGUUGUGUAGUUCUAAAUAUGUAUAUAUAUAAAGGUAAAAAAAUAUCAUAUGAAUUAAAACUAAAAAAAUAAUAAUUUGAUCAAUCCUCUUUUGAAUAAUUUUGAUAUAAUUUUCCUGUAUUUAUUUAUUUUUUUAAAAAAUUUUAACAAAUAACUCUUGAAUUUAUUACUAUAAAAAUUAUUAAAUGCAUACUCAAAAAAACCUGUUUAUCCCCGAUUUAGUACUUUUUCCUACAAAUUCAUUUCUUUGAAAAAUGUCCCCAAAAAAAAAAAAAAAAAAAAAAAAAAAAAAAAUAGGUUAUACUAUAUGUGAGAAGAAAAAAUGGGCACAACGAAACCGAUGUAAUAUAUAUAUAUAUAUAUAUAUAUGUAUCUAUUUAUUUAAAAAACAAAGGGGGGAGGGUGUAAAAAAGUUAUACGAACUUAUUAGUUGUGUUUAUUUUUUAUUUUGUUUAUCUGUGCUUACUGCUUAAUCAGAUACACAUAGAAAGUAAAAUCUUCGCUAAUACGAAAAAAUGGCUUAGAAAAAAAAAAUAUAUACGAUGGUUUCUCCGAAUAAAAAUAGACAUCGUAAUUACCA
rnacentral:lncRNA from 1 species